rnacentral:rRNA from 1 species
CAGUAGCCACGGGAAUACGAAGGGGGCUAGCGUUGCUCGGAAUGACUGGGCGUAAAGGGCGCGUAGGCGGCGGCCAAAGUCAGGCGUGAAAUUCCCGGGCUCAACCUGGGGGCUGCGUUUGAUACUUGGUUGCUUGAGUGGGGAAGAGGGUCGUGGAAUUCCCAGUGUAGAGGUGAAAUUCGUAGAUAUUGGGAAGAACACCGGUGGCGAAGGCGGCGACCUGGUCCUUUACUGACGCUGAGGCGCGAAAGCGUGGGGAGCAAACAGGAUUAGAUACCCCCGUAGUCCCUGUCUCUUAUAC